UUGUAUUUUAAUCCUGUGCCAACUGGGCCCC
rnacentral:piRNA from 1 species